rnacentral:lncRNA from 1 species
GGGCUGGGUGAUUUUGGGGUCCUGGGUGCCCCUGUUCAGGGGCUGGGAUAUUUUGGGGGGCUGGGUUAUUUGGGGACCUGGGUGCCCCAGUCUAGGAGCUGGGAUAUUUGGGGGGGCUGGGUGCCCCUCUGUGGUGGGGGAUGGUUAUUUUGGGGGGUUGGGUGCCCCUGUCCAGGGGGUGGGUUAUUUGGGGGGCUGGGUGCCCCUGUCCGGGGCCUGAGUUAUUUUGGUGGGCUGGGUGCCCCUGUCCAGGGGCUGGGAUAUUUUGGGGGGCUGGGUUAUUUGGAGGCCUGGGUGCCCCUGUCCAGGGGUGGGUUAUUUUGGGGGCCUGCACCCUGUCCAGGGACUGGGCUAUUUGUGGGCCUGGGUGCCCCUGUCCAGGGGCUGGGAUAUUUUGGGGGGCUGGGUGCCCAUCUCUGGUGCCAGACUGGGUUAUUUUGGGGGACUGGGUGCCCCUGUCUAGGGGCUGGGAUAUUUUGGGGGGUUGGGUUACCCUCUGUGGUGGGGGAUGGUUAUUUUGGUGGACUAGGUGCCCCUGUCCAAGGGCUGGGAUAUUUGGGGGACUGGGUGCCCCAGUCUAGGGGCUGGGAUAUUUUGGGGGGUUGGGUUACACUCUGUGGUGGGGGAUGGUUAUUUUGGGGGACUAGGUGCCCCUGUCCAAGGGCUGGGAUAUUUUGGGGGGUUGAGUCUCUGAGCCACAGCCGGACGUGGUCAUGGAGCCCCGGGCUGGGGGGCUGCGCCCUGGUGUUGACACAGGCCCUGGGGGGCACCAGCCCCCCCCAUGGCCCCACUCUUCCUCCAGGGUCCAAACCAGGUUCCCCAGGCCUGAGACACGCCAGGUUGGGCUCUGUGUCCGGGAGCCCCCCACUCAGCCCUGGCCUCCUCACACCCCGAUUCCUCAGCGCCAGCAGCCCCCGUGAACCCCCUUUAUCCCCUGCCACUCCCCGCCCGGCCGGUGCUCUCCAGCCACGUCGGGACGGGGGGGCUGGUCACGGGGCGCCCCUUGUCUCUCUCGGGGGGGUGGCUGCGGCUCACUCCUUCAUUCCUGUCCUGCACUGCCCCCCAGGGGUGACUUGGAGAAACUGA